rnacentral:rRNA from 1 species
GUGAGGAAUAUUGGUCAAUGGGCGGGAGCCUGAACCAGCCAAGUCGCGUGAAGGAAGAAGGAUCUAUGGUUCGUAAACUUCUUUUGCAGGGGAAUAAAGUGCAGGACGUGUCCUGUUUUGUAUGUACCCUGAGAAUAAGGAUCGGCUAACUCCGUGCCAGCAGCCGCGGUAAUACGGAGGAUCCGAGCGUUAUCCGGAUUUAUUGGGUUUAAAGGGUGCGUAGGUGGUUUGAUAAGUCAGCGGUGAAAGUUUGCAGCUUAACUGUAAAAAUGCCGUUGAAACUGUCGGACUUGAGUGUAAAUGAGGUAGGCGGAAUGCGUAGUGUAGCGGUGAAAUGCAUAGAUAUCACGCAGAACUCCGAUUGCGAAGGCAGCUUACUAAGCUACAACUGACACUGAAGCACGAAAGCGUGGGGAUCAAACAGGAUUAGAAACCCCAGUAGUCC